rnacentral:rRNA from 1 species
UACGUAGGGGGCAAGCGUUGUCCGGAAUCAUUGGGCGUAAAGAGCGCGUAGGCGGCCCUGUAAGUCCGCUGUGAAAGUCAAGGGCUCAACCCUUGGAUGCCGGUGGAUACUGCAGGGCUAGAGUCCGGAAGAGGCGAGUGGAAUUCCUGGUGUAGCGGUGAAAUGCGCAGAUAUCAGGAGGAACACCAAUUGAGAAGGCAGCGCGCUGGGACGUGACUGACGCUGAGACGCGAAAGCGUGGGAAGCAAACAGG